GAAGGAAAGAGAUAAAUAGGAGAGCUUGACUGCAAGCAUCAUGUCCUCUCCCAGGAAACCUGUCAACAAUUAGCCAGGAGGCUGAGGUGCUGAAGCCUCAGAGCCUUCCUGAGAAGGCUACACAGGCAAGUAUCCUUGGCACCUCCCCAGCCACCCCAUGACUCCUAGCUUCGCCAUAUCUUAGCUAUGAGACCCUGACUGGACCACUUAGACUCUCUGAGCUUGUCUGACACACAAAAGAGGGAGGAGAGAGGCAUGAAGCCCUUUCUCCUGGAUGGUUGAGCAAACGCAGUCAUAGACACAAAGCAACUCCCCAGUGCCUUUUGGGAGGGGAUUUUAGAUGCCAUCUGUUACAAGACAGAGGCUCCAGGCUGGCAAACUGACUCAGAGGGUAAGAGCACUUACUGUGCAAGUCUGAGAAGCUGAGUUCAAUCUCCAGCCCCGGCAUUAAAGAAGGAGGCAAGCAUGGCUACUUGCAUUCCUGGAGCCUGGAGCUGGGAGGGAGAGAGAUGACAAGAGGAUCAGUGUGGUUUGUUGGCUGCCAGGGUAGCUCCAGGUUCAACGACAGACCCUAUCCCAAGGGAAUAAGACAGAGAGGGAUAGAACAGGGCACCAAUAUCCUGCUUAUGCUCUAUUGAAAGGAUGGGCAUGCGUAGGUCUGUGCAUACACAUGUGUAGGAUGCGUAUGUAGAUGUGCUUAAUACACACACACACAGAGGCAGAUAGACACAGAGACAGACAGACAUACACACAGAGACAGACAGACAGACAGACAGACAGAGACAAGGAGAGACAAACACACAGAGACAGACAGAAAGACACAGAAAUAGACUGAGACAGAUAUACACAGAGACAGGCAUAUACACACAGAGACAGACACACACACACACAAGAGACAGAUAUAAACACAGAGAGACAGACAGAGACAGACACACAUACAGACAGACAUAAACACAGACACACAGACACACACACAUAUAUAUGUACAUAUAUAUAUAUAUACAUAUAUAUAUAUAUAUAUAUUGAUAGAGACAGAGAGAGACAGAGAGAGAGAAACACAGCAGCAGCGCUAAGGACAGAUGGACCCAUCCAAGGAGCCUGAACAGAACUGGUGCCAUUUAUUUCUGACUGCUGAGGUAUGCUGGGGCCAUGAAGCCCAUGGUAGUGUAAAGUUUCUCAUACCCAAUUUUAUAGGUGGUUCCUAUAAAACUGAGCCACGCAGAAUGACUCAGUCAGGUAAGUUAGACACCAUCACAGAAUAAAGUCUUGCAUUUCCAUCUCCCUGGAUGCACAGAUGCAUUUUUAACAGAGGCCAGUCUACCCCAUUCUGUCUCUGUUCUCUCAAACCCUGUACUUAGACAGACCAUCUUUGUCAUGGUUUGUUCUGUCCAGUGGCUAGGUCAGCCUGACAGGGUAUGUAAGACUUAGACAGCCCCAGCCCUUAGCUGCAUGAGCAUAGCUCGGAGAAACCAAUUGCAAAUAGGUCUCAGGUCCCACCCUAGAGGGUAGGUCCAGCAUCUUGGGGUCUACAGUGGCCUUGGUAGCUCUACAGAGGAGCAUGGUGUCAGACUACUGAACUUGGUGCUCCAUCAGAGAAAGGGAUGAUGUUUCUUGAUCCUUGGAUCCUGUCAGGGUUGCCUGCAUCCCAGUUUCCUUAUCUAUGACUCUUCCCAGGCCUACUGAGAGCCAAGAAAAACAUGGUGCCCAAUUCCUUUAAAUAAAAUGCAUCAGCCAACCCAGGAGAAGCCAGUGUGGAACCCAGACCAGUUUGCCCAGCAUACCAGUACAGAGGCCAUCACUUAGGUCAUAUCCAGGCCUGGACUAGACCCAAGAAGGUCUGGCUGGUCCCAGCAGCAGGUAGGUAUUGAACACCAUAAGAAUACACAAUGGCAGCCAUAUUAUGGGGCUCUUGGUGCUCACCACUCACCAGGCUGUACUGUUGGUUCCUCCAGUCUUCAUCUGGGAUGCAGACAACAGCGCCACCCGUGGACAAGCAGGAGCAGUGCAUCCCAAACAGGAAAGGCUGCCGGGGUACUUGGUAGGUUACUCUGCAGUAGAACAGCAGCCAGACCCUUCCCAGGCUUUAGUUUGGGGCCUGGUACGGGACCAUUGUUGGAGUAGGUGACUGUCACAUCUCUCCUUCUCUUGAGCUGUGAUUGUACGCAUGCUCAGAAGGUCUUGAUUACCUCUCAGAGCUGACAGAAGAACCAGAGUCAGAAGGAGAACCUGACAGUCCUUGGGCCAUGCUGCAGUCCUUCUCAAUUCAAGGAAGGAAAAGAUGAUAGAGCUGGGAGAAGAGGAGAAAAAACAUAUUGAUCACAGCUAAGAAAUGGUAGGUGGACAAAGUGGAGCCCCAUGUGCUUGUAAGCACUUAGAGCAGACACAUAGUGCUGCCCUUGACUUGCCCUGGGGACAUGUAUGCCUUGGGUAUCAGUGUGUACCGAUGCUUCUUAGACAUCAAGGGACAGACCCAGGGAAUCAUGAAAAUCUUUUAUGUACCUGGACAAAGGCUAAGAGGUCCUGUCUCCAUGAGUGGAAGCCCCAGCUCUGUAGCUAAUGCCUCCCUUGGAAGAACCAAUCAGAAUUGGCAUUAGAAUCAAGAAAUAUGAAUUACAGUCAAAACCUUCUAGAGCUGUCUCUGGAAGGGGACUUCAAAGACACAAAGCAAGGCCAGAAAAUGUGCUACUCUGAAGGUCAUGUGUUUUUUAUGCUGUUGUCCUUGAGAUCACACCUACUCAAGCCCCAAUUUAGAUACAUCUGUCCAAGGCUAAGACUCUCAGAUUCUGGUGCACUCCCAAUUUCCAUGUCUGUCAUCAUUCAGAGUGCCCUUGGGAGGCAGACACCAAUUCCUUUCCUGCGAUGGAGAAACAGUAUCUCAGGUGACUCUGUCUCUUGACCCUCCCGUUAGUAAGACAUUCCUCACAUGAGGUAACAGCUCUGCCUGCUCUCUGUGUGCCACGGCCACCUGUUAGAGAUCCCAGAGGAUCCAUCUUCACAUCUGACAUGGCCUCCAGAGACACUGGGUGACCAGAGACGUCACAUACACAGUCUUUAUCAGACUCAUGGGGAGCCACAGGCAACUCUCUUCACAGAGCCAUGCUGUUCUUGGUGAAGGAAGGGCUGCUUCGAAGGCAUUUGUCUUACUUUAUUGCAGACAACGAUGACAUGCAAGAUGCAGGAGGAUGACUGACAGUCAAAGGCCACGUGGCUGACAAGGAGCCUCAAAAUCUCUGGGAGAUAUGCUGCUCUCUCGGCUCUGUGCUGGAAUGCAGAUGGAAAAGAAUAUAGCCAGGACUUAUGGGAAAAGAUAUGCAAUAAAACAUGGACGGAGGUCUGUCUCAUCGCCACUGCCCACGCUCCGAGAAGUCCUGGCCAAGUCAUGCCACAUCAUGGAGACUCGGCUUUAUUAAUUUCCUUUUAGGCUAAGUUAUUUUUUUUAAACAAGUAUGUGCCUGUGCCUGUGGGUGUUGCACAUGCACAUGUGGAGGCUGGAAGUGGACUCAGUCAUUCCCCCAUCUUAUCUUUAGGGACAAAGACACAAACCAGGAGCUUGCUGGUUCAGCAAGACGGCUAGCCAGGCAAGCCUAGGGAUCCUCCUGUCUCUGUGGCCCAGUGCCAGGGUUACAGGCAUGCAUCAUCAGGCCCAGCUGCUUUUGUGGGUGCUUGAGUCUAGACAUUAGCCCUGAUGUUUGCACAGCAGGUACUUUGCCCACUGAGCCAUCCCCCAAUGCUGGCUCCUCAGUUUUACUGUGAACAAUUGGAAACUGCCUUCCGUAACUCACUCUUCAUGCACCAAUAGUCAUUUCCGAAAUGCCUACUAUCUUGCAGAUGAAUGAAGCUAACUAACGGAAAGGUGGGUGUGAUAUCAGAAAGACGAACGCAAACUCCUUCCAGCUCCGAAUGUCUGCCCUUUUCCCACAGGGGAGGGAGAGUGUGGCUAGGUGUGGCUGCAUGCUUUCCCUUGGCCAAUGGGACGACAGCAAGUGUAACAUAGGAGACUUAGAAAGCUCUAGUCACUGAAACUUGUCUUUCCUCUCUGAGCUUAAUGAUCCUGAGACUGCUAUGUGAGUGAGCCCAGGCUAACCUGCUGGAGGAUACCUUCACACUCCCAUGACUCAGGUUCAAUGCCUGACAAGCACAAGUGUGCAUGAAUUAUACUCAAACCAUCUAGCUAUCCAAUCAUCCAUCAAGCAACCAAAGUAGAUACAGGAGAGUGUCCAGGGAAAACCCCCAGUAGAUCCCUGUAACUCUCAAAAACAAAACAAAAUGAUUGUUUUGGUAAACUACUAAUUUGGAGAGUGAUUUGUUACACAGAACGAGCUAACUGAUACACAAAGGCAGACAUUGACAGUUUGUCCUCAGGAUAGAUUUGCCUGUUUUCAUCCUUACUCCCAGCCAAUUUGGUAGGUAGCGUGCUCUUUAUGGCUAAGGCUGCUGAGACUCGGAGAGAGGCUAACUCACUGUCCAGAGAUGUUGGGUGAUGGAGGUAAACCUAAGAUGGACUGAAGCUACCAAUGAGAAAGGGUUCAAGACAGGAUUGGUGAACAGAAUCUGUUUGGCUCAGAAUCCCUGCUUGCAUGGGUUAUAGUGCUUCUGUCGUGUGUCCUGCCCAAUGUGACUGUAUAUUGAAGGAGCCUGAAUGCUGAUUCCGGGGAGCCCUGAAGAUGGGGUCAUGAAGAAAAGUAUGAGGAGAAGGGGUCAAGGCAGUACUUUGUGGCUGAAAUGGCUCAUAAGGCCAGCUUAUGGGAGCCCGCUUCCAAAUGAUCAAUUCCAAUCUCAUUAUGACCACAGCUGCCAUUAACUCAGGAGCUAAUUGCUAUUAGUGUACAGAAACUCAAGAGGGUUUAGCUGCAAAAAUUCCAUGACACGGGACCAUCUCACUGCUCAAAUGGCCACAUCCCCAUUAUUAAUUCCCUGUGACUAUUAGCUUAUGACUGUUAAGUUACGAUAAGUUUGUGUAAAGUCCUUGAACCGGAUGUGUGUCCUCUGUGCACACUUCAUUAUGGGGAACUGAGUGCACUUGGAGGCUCCAUGUUGCCAUUUUCAUUUCUCCUUAAGGUCCAGGCUUAUUAAAAAGCAUCAGGAAGGCUCUUGAUUUGGAAGACAGUUCUGUAAGCAAAAGUCUUAACAAAAACCAGACUCUGCUCAGCAUUUUGAUGUAAUUAAAGUCUUGGCAAGCACAGAGUGGGUCCGAGCAGCAGCAACGCUUAGCAGCACAGAGGCCCUGGGAAAUACUAGGUGGCCUCACAGUACAGCUGGGGAAACCGAGGACUGGCUAAAUGAUGGCGCUCAGGUAAGGCAACAUGGCCUACCAGCCUUAGACUAACAGUUUCUGGUUUGGAUGAAUUAAAAGCCUGCUGCAGAUGUCAGGUAUGCUGUAAGACCAACAGGAGACAAAGAAUCACUCCAGCUUUCCCUUAAGAAACAAAAGGAAGAAAAGAAAAACCUACAUGCUGAGAAACAGGCCAAGUGACUAUCACUCAUUCCUCCUCCUUGAAGAGAGCCAGCUGGAUGGAGUACUACAUGACAGUGUGUAAAAUUAGACAUAUUUAACGGGUGACGACAAGGAUUUCUCUGUCUACGUUCAGGAGCCUACUGUAAUGAGAUCCAGUUGGUCUCUAAAGAAAAAUAGGAGUGUGUGCAAUUACCGAGUUCACCGUUUGUUUCUGUUUAACUUUGUAGCUUCUUCCCAAGAUGCCUUGGGGCAUGUCUGGAAAAAAUGUCAGUACUUGUUGCUAAGCAGUCCAGUCCUUGAGGUGCUCUCCCAAUUCAGAGUCCUUUGUAGCCAGGUCCUGGGGCACUGGAGCAAGAAAAGCUGGGGUGCCAUAGCCUGAGAACAGCAUCACUCUGGCUAAGCUCCAUGAGGCUGAAGUUUGCAGGUUCCUGCCAAAGGGGAGCUACCUCACAGUUGAGUAGGAAGAAGAGGAGGUGGGGUGCCUUCAGGCCUCUCCUCAUCCACAUGUCCGUUCUAAAUCUCUUUUAUUGGCUUCUUGCUCUUAAAGGCUUGGAGGGGGGAGGCUAUGAGAUAGAGCUAAGGAAAUUGGAAGUUGAGUGCUGAGCUCUCUCUGGGGUCAAGGUUUCUGAAGGGAUCCUAAUUAAAGCCAAGUGAGCGCAGGUCUCAGCUCAGUGUGUUGGCCUUGGGAGGCAGGGAUGCUGGAAGAGAAAGAAGAAAAAAAGAGACUAGAGAGGCCAAGAGGAAGAGUUAGAAAAGAGAAAAGCAGCAGCCACAGAGAAAAGAAAGGGGAGGAAGGAAGGUGCCAGCCAGAGGGGCUGCGGGGAGGGCAACUGAGAGACUGAAAGAGUAGAGAAACAAGACAAGAGUCUGGGGAAGCAGGAGAAAUGUGAAGCAAAGAGAGACAAGUUGGUGAAAACAAAGAGAAAGGAGCAAAUUAUGCAUCUGUCAGUUAAUUUCUAGAACAUACAGAGUAGAAUUGGCCAUCCCUUAUACCGUGGGAUUGAAGAAGAUGUUAUAUGAAAUGCAAGCACAGAGCAUAUUUUCUUUGACCCAGACACCGAACACAUUUCUGGUAUCGGCUGAUUGUGUGUACAUGUGUAUAUCUGUGUGUACAUGGACACACACAUGUGCCUGAAAGAGGGACUUUUUGCCAGACAUUAUAAACAUGUUGCAGAAUCUACUGGCUAUGGUCAACAGCACCCCAAAUCUGUGACCAUUUGAACUCUGUACUUUCCCCUACUUUGGCUGUCAACAACUGCAAAAUCUUCCUCUUCCUCCUCCUCCCCUUCCUCCUCCUCCUCUUCUUUGUUUUUGUUACUCUAGAGAGAUAAAGUUUUGCAUUUUCCUAGAAAUGCCUGACUGCCUCCAAGACAGUCAGGUGAGGAGAAGUCAAGAGAUAGACUCUAGUUAAGUUCCUUUUCCAGAUGAAGGUUUGUGCCCCCCUCACAUACACACACACCGCCACACGCACACACUGAUUGGUGAGGACAGGGCUCUGAAUGGUAAGGCAGUGAAAGCCAUCCUACUAACUCUGUCUCUUUCUUCUCUCUAGCAUCUCUUGGGGUUGUUUUGGCUCCAAAAGUCAACCAAAGAAGAGACAUGGAGAUCCCACCAGAUGCCACAAUUUUCUUCCUAGGUUCCUGGGAUCUCUGAGUCCUGAGAACAAAGCAAAGUAAAACAGAGCCCAUUUUAGGUCAUGGAGGACUCUUUGUUCUCUUAACCCUAUUCUCAUUGUGUUUGCUCUACUAAGAAAAACAGACUAGACACGGAGGUCCAAAGAAGAAAGAGAACAUUCUAAUUUGUUUCUAUGGAAAAGUGAAAAGGGCUGAAUAUGAGAUAAAAAUCUUUGUUGCUCAAGUUCUGGGGGUGGGGGGCUCAGGAGCUACUUUGUAGAUUCCCCUGUGGUGUUGAUACUCUGUUCAUCCUUAACUCCUGAACCUUCCUGAACUUCAACUUUGUAGCAUUUGUUGCUAUUGGGCCAUAUGGCCAGCCAGCCUGCCUGUGGUGCUGCCAGCCCUAUGUCUGGAGGAAGGGGUAGAAGAGAUUUGCAAGUCAGACUCCAGCAACAAUCCCUCAAUUGGCCCUAAGUCCUUCAGGAACCCCCUUGUCUUCAUCAUAGUCAUCUUCCAAUCCUGAUACAUUUCUGCUGCCAGGGAGCUCCUGUGGAACAUGAAGACAAUUGAUACAUCCUGUGGUGCGUGCUAGGCAGCUUUUGUCUUUUUGACACAAACUAGAGUCACCUGGGAAGGGACCCUCAACUGAGACAUUGUCUCCAUCUGAUUGGCUUGUGGACACAUCUGGGAGGAUGUUUUUGAUUAAUAAUUAAUGUAGGAGGAUCCAACCUAGAGUGGGUAGUGCCACCACUGGGUAGAUAUUCCUAGGUUGCAUAAGAGAGCAAAUUGAUCAAGCCAUAGAGAGCAAAUCAGUACAGAAUGUUCUUCCAUUCGUCCAUGAUCUCUGCUUCAGUUCUUGCCUUCCCAUUCCCAUUUGAGCUCUUCUCGCCCUGGCUUUCUUUGAUGGUAUCUGUAACCUGUAAGAUAUAAUGAAUGCUUUCCCUUUCGAGUUGCUUUAGUUAUGUUUAAUCACAUCACCAGAAACCAAAGGACAUGUGGUAAUUAACCAUCAGUGGUCUCCUGAGCCUAAGAUCAAAUUCAGUCCUACUGUGUACCAACAACGGCUCCACGUGCUGACUCUUGAGCUUGAAUAAGUCAGGGCACCCUGGAACUGUUAUACUAGGGAAAUCAACAAUCAGAUGACCAUUUGUGGAAUGCUUUAGACAGAGAAAGGUGAUGGGAGAAGCCAGAUGCAGGGAGGGAAACCCAGGUUUCAAGCUGGAUCACAACCACUGAGUGAGCAUCUCUGAAGAAGAAAGGGAGAGGUCCUAUGUUCACUGCACCCACUUGAGUAGGCCUUCAAGGGCUUCAGGUCAUGUCUUACUGAGGACUGAACAAGCUAAGCAUCCCUAUGCAAGCUUCUUCCAUGAAGCUAGAGAUGGAUGCCAUUAAAAGAAAGGGACCUCCCUGUUCAUGACUCCGUA